GACCUGCGGAAGGAUCAUUACCGAGUGUAGGGUUCCUAGCGAGCCCAACCUCCCACCCGUGUUUACUGUACCUUAGUUGCUUCGGCGGGCCCGCCAUUCAUGGCCGCCGGGGGCUCUCAGCCCCGGGCCCGCGCCCGCCGGAGACACCACGAACUCUGUCUGAUCUAGUGAAGUCUGAGUUGAUUGUAUCGCAAUCAGUUAAAACUUUCAACAAUGGAUCUCUUGGUUCCGGCAUCGAUGAAGAACGCAGCGAAAUGCGAUAACUAGUGUGAAUUGCAGAAUUCCGUGAAUCAUCGAGUCUUUGAACGCACAUUGCGCCCCCUGGUAUUCCGGGGGGCAUGCCUGUCCGAGCGUCAUUGCUGCCCAUCAAGCACGGCUUGUGUGUUGGGUCGUCGUCCCCUCUCCGGGGGGGACGGGCCCCAAAGGCAGCGGCGGCACCGCGUCCGAUCCUCGAGCGUAUGGGGCUUUGUCACCCGCUCUGUAGGCCCGGCCGGCGCUUGCCGAACGCAAAUCAAUCUUUUUCCAGGUUGACCUCGGAUCAGGUAGGGAUACCCGCUGAACUUAAGCAU
rnacentral:rRNA from 1 species